rnacentral:rRNA from 1 species
UAUGGCUCAAGACGAACGCUGGUGGCAUGCUUCAGACAUGCAAGUUGAACGCUUUUUUUCUUGUGUAUUGGAGAGGAGGAGUAGCAAACGGGUGAGUGACACGUGACUGACCUGCCCUCAAAUCUGGGAUAACCUUUUGAAAAGGAGGCUAAUACUGGAUAGGAUUGGGAGGUAAUACUUCCAAUGGAAAGUGCUUUAGCGUUUGAGGAUGGGGUUGCGUUCCAUUAGCUUGUUGGUGGGGUAACGGCUCACCAAGGCGAUGAUGGGGAGCGGUUCUGAGAGGAAGUACCGUCACACCGGAACUGAGACACGGUCCAGACUCCUACGGGAGGCAGCAGUCGGGAAUAUUGUGCAAUGGGGGCAACCCUGACACAGCAAUGCCACGUGAGUGAAGAAGGUUUUCGGAUCGUAAAGCUCUUCUAUUGGGGAAGAGAUUGACAUGAACUAAUGAAGAAGCACCGGCUAACUACGUGCCAGCAGCCGCGGUAAUACGUAGGGUGCGAGCGUUGUUCGGAAUUACUGGGCGUAAAGGGCAUGUAGGCGGGAGAUCAAGCAAUGGGUGAAAUCCUGAGGCAUAACCUCAGGCGUGCUUGUUGAACUGGUUUCCUAGAGAGGAUGAGAGGUCAGCGGAAUUUCCCGGUGGAGAGGUGGGAUUCGUAGAGAUCGGAAGGAAUGUCGGUGGCGAAGGCGGCUGGCUGGCAUCACUCUGACGCUGAGGUGCGAAAGCGUGGGGAGCGAACAGGAUUAGAUACCCUGGUAGUCCACGCUGUAAACGAUGGAUACUAGAUGUUUUAAGAGUUAAAAGGCUUGAAGUGUCGCAGCUAACGCAUUAAGUAUCUCGCCUGGGGAGUACGGUCGCAAGACUAAAACUCAAAGGAAUUGACGGGGGCCCGCACAAGCGGUGGAACAUGUGGUUUAAUUCGACGCAACGCGAAGAACCUUACCCAGACUUGACAUCCUGUGCCAGCUUUAGAGAUGGAGUGUUCUUUUCGGAGACGCAGAGACAGGUGCUGCAUGGCUGUCGUCAGCUCGUGUUGUGAGAUGUUGGGUUAAGUCCCGCAACGAGCGCAACCCCUACUCUUAGUUGCUAGCAUGUGAAGAUGAGCACUUUAAGGGGACUGCCGGUGACAAGCCGGAGGAAGGUGGGGACGACGUCAAGUCAUCAUGGCCUUUAUGUCUGGGGCUACACACGUGUUACAAUGGAAAUGACAGAGGGUUGCAAAAUUGUGAAAUGGAGCUAAUCCCUUAAAAGUUUUCUCAGUUCGGAUUGCAGUCCGCAACUUGACUGCAUGAAGUUGGAAUCGCUAGUAAUCGCAGAUCAGCACGCUGCGGUGAAUACGUUCCCGGGCCUUGUACACACCGCCCGUCACACCAUGGGAGUGGAUUAGGGCAGAAGCCAUUGAACUAA